UACCUUAAGCAUUAUAUGGUCCAAACAGU
rnacentral:sRNA from 1 species